UAUAUUUUAAUUUCGCUUUUGAUUACAUGAUACAUUACUUGUAAUAGGCUCAUAUUUAACUGUAUUUUUACACAAGCAUUUCCACAUUGUAUUAUUUGAAGAGCAUCACAAAUCAUUGAUCUAUUUAUUUACUUGUUCAUGUGCCUAAACUCAAACAAGCUCAACCUACCACGUGAUGUGUGAAAACAAACCUCAUUGGAUUUGUGGAAGCUCAGGCGCGUUUGUUUAACACGUGUUAAGCCCAAGAGAAGCAUGUCUGAGUUUCCGCUUACCAGUUCUGCUGUGCGUAUGUAUGUGCAUUGAUGGAUGUGAAUAAAAGUCUCAAUUAAAGCUGUUAAGUCAUAUAGAGUGAUCAUGUCUCUUCAGAGGACUUGGAAGAAACCACUUGAUUCAUAUGGAUUAUUUUUGCGAUGUUUUUGUCUGUGAUUAACUUUUUGAAACAUAAGCGUUUUGGGUGUCUUUCAGCAGAAGGACAUAAAUCUGUCCGAUUUCAUUAAAAUAUCUCAGUUUUGGUUUCAAAGGUGAAUGAAAGUCUUUGAACUUUGGAAAAGGGUUUGGAACAACAUGAAGAGCUUAAACUGUAUGAAGGGCUCAGAAGGUUUUGAUUAUAUUACCCAUCAGAUCAGCUUCUGUUCAAUAGAAGACACAUUUAAAUCAGAUCAGAGAGACAAGCAAAGAGAGUGACCCUGUGAUGAAGAACAUUUUAAAGACCAUAGUAUCUGAAUUACAUGCCCCGAGAUACAGAAAAUGCAACACGUCAUACUCAAAGAAAAGUGACUCUCCACUUGAAGAUGAAGAUGGUGACAUUUCUAUUUUCUGUUUCUUUGUUAUGUUCUGCCAUUUGCAGAAUUAAUUUGUAAAAAAAAAAAAAAAACAUUAUUCACUUCUCCACUUUACUGUUUUUUGGUAACGUCUUUGUGUGUGUGUGUGUGUGUGUGUGUGUGCUUGUGUGUGUGUGCAGAAAAUUUAAUUAUGCAUUGUUAUUCAAUGAAAGAGUAUUCAUAGUGUACUUUCAAGUAAUAUAGGGAUAAAAUAACAUUUCUGCAAAUUGAAGUAUUUCUGUUAUACCAUCUCACUGGUCUUUAUUUAUUUAUUAUAAUUUAUUAUAAUUUACUAUAAUUAUUUUGACUAUUUGUCAAGAGUUUAUAUAUGUUGCUGUACUUUUUAAAUGUACUCAAUGGAUUUAUUGGUGUAAUGUACACAAUAUAUUUUGUUGUAAAAGUAUAUUAAAAGUUUUCUAGAUGUGAAAGUGUGUGUACGUGCUCGUCGUUAAUUUAAUGAGUGUUGUACUUUUUAAUAUACCAUAUAAGAUUGCUGAAAAAUAGCUUUAUAACAAAUUAAUAGUGUACUAGGAAUGCAAAUGAAGUACAUUAAAGUGAAGCUUAAAAUAUAUAACUGUACCUCAAGAAGUAUAACAUUAUUUUAAAUAAAGUAAAGAAGUAUAAUUAAGUUACACUAAAGAUACUUGAAAUUGUUCAAUUUUAACACAACUAAACAGCUUGAUAAAGUUGAUAUGAAGCAUAUCUUAAAGUAUCUUAGUCGUUCCAAAAAAACAUUUAUUAUGCACUCAGUAUACUAUCAUAAAAAUAUAAUAAGUUUUAAAUAUAAAUAUAAUAAUAAAUAUAAAUAACUAUAUAUAUAGUAACUUAAUAAUAAGUUACUCAAUAUUAGUACAACUAAGUAUAUUUUUUAUUUAACUGGGUUGUCAUUGACCAAUUUACUGAACCUCAUGCCAUUCCAAACAUGGAAGACUUUUAUUUUUGGAUAUUUGGAAUUGUUUUGAAGUCUAUAACCAUAUUUGUGCUUUAUAUUUUUACAACAUACAGUACGAUUCUAUUUUCUAAUUUUUUUAUAUUGAUACACUGUGCGGCUGUCUGAAAGUGGGACUGAUUUUUGGCAAUGCCUUGCAGUAUGUGUGUGAGUUUGUGUACGUGCAAGACUGAUUUACACCGCUAUCUCGAGAUCACACGUGCGUCUACAUCUGAUGCCAGUUUAUAAUGAGUGCUGUGUGAUAAAAAUGGAGAGAUGUGAGACAAAUUCAUAAUGAGCAGCGUGUAAAACUAUGUGUGUUGCAGAAGUGUUGGUCUGCAGCUGAGCUGAUUCUUAAUUGAUUUCAUAGGGAACUGAAGCUGAGGGGUCUUGUAAUAGUGUGUGUGUAUGUGUGUGUGUGACUGGGGAUGGGGGAAACAUUUUAAUAAUUAAUAAUAGAAUCUGCAGAUGAAAAGCGUGAGACACUUUACAUAACGGUGCAGCAGGGUUCUGAAAGCCAAGAUGGUUUCCUAAUGCUUACCCAGAGCCUUUCCGAACGCUGAGCUCACUUUGUCACUUUUACUCAAUUAAUGAAUCAGAGUUUCUACCUGCCUUAUUACAACACAUAUUAAAAGAAACUCAUGUUCAUGCUGUUAUUGGUUUUUCUUUGUUGAAGUCAGCAUGACCUUUCUAUUGUACAGAAUUCCACCAUGUUAGCUUAGCAACUUGUUUCUCUGACUAUUAAAACUAGUUUCAGAACUAUAAUAGUAUGUGUGUAGCACAGUUUCAUAUACUGUAUACAUACAUAUACAGGUCCAAAAGUCUGAGAUGACAUUGACAAUCUUGGUCUGAGUUUACAUGACACACUGGUUAAUUGAAUAUUUUUAAAGAUUGAAAACACAUCGCACCUUACUUCUCUUUUCUAGCCAGCACACAAGGCCAAUCAUAGUCUGCCAUUUUGGCAUUCCUAUAGCUCAUCCAGCAGAGAGCGGCACUAGCAAUGCCAAGGUCAUGGGUCUGAUUCCCAGGGAAUGCAUGAAUGGAUCAAAUUGUUUUUAAAAGUCACUUUGUCUGACAAAUGCAAAAAUGUACAGUUGAAAUUAUUCUGGUGCAUUUGUCUUUAGAAGCCAAGAUUCUAUUCUCCUCUGAUCUGAAGUUAAAAUUCGAUUGUGUUAUUUUCUGAAAUUAAGAGUCUAUUAAUUUAUGAACUUUUUUUUUCUGAAGUAAAGAUUAUGUUCUGAAGAAUGUGUUAUGAAUGUAUUUGAAGUUAUUGUUGUUUUUUUUACUUAAGCUUCUGUUCUGUUCUGCUCUGUUCUUAAGUUAAGAAUCUCUUCUGUUCUGAAGUUUAAAAAUGUGUUCUAUUCUAUUCUGAAGUCAAUAUUCUGUACUAAAGUUAAGAAAUCAAACUGGAAAGCAUUUAUUGUAGUGGAAAUAAGUACCAUUGGCCUUCCCUUUGUGGUGAUAAAAGAUAUUCAGUGGAUUUAUCUGGCUCGUGGUCAUGGGUUACAUUCUAUCCACGUUGACUCACUUACAUUAUAACCUGCUCUUUGAC